rnacentral:rRNA from 1 species
GGACGGGUGAGUAAUGCCUAGGAAUCUGCCUAGUAGUGGGGGACAACGUUUCGAAAGGAACGCUAAUACCGCAUACGUCCUACGGGAGAAAGUGGGGGAUCUUCGGACCUCACGCUAUUAGAUGAGCCUAGGUCGGAUUAGCUAGUUGGUAGGGUAAAGGCCUACCAAGGCGACGAUCCGUAACUGGUCUGAGAGGAUGAUCAGUCACACUGGAACUGAGACACGGUCCAGACUCAUACGGGAGGCAGCAGUGGGGAAUAUUGGACAAUGGGCGAAAGCCUGAUCCAGCCAUGCCGCGUGUGUGAAGAAGGCCCUCGGGUCGUAAAGCACUUUAAGUUGGGAGGAAGGGCUUACAGCGAAUACCUGUGAGUUUUGACGUUACCGACAGAAUAAGCACCGGCUAACUUCGUGCCAGCAGCCGCGGUAAUACGAAGGGUGCAAGCGUUAAUCGGAAUUACUGGGCGUAAAGCGCGCGUAGGUG